rnacentral:rRNA from 1 species
AACCUGCCUCUAAGAUAGGGGACGAACAGAGCGAAAGUUACUGCUAAUACCGAAUGUUGUAUCUUUACCGCAUGGUGGAGAUAUUAAAGAUGGCCUCUACUUGUAAGCUAUCACUUAGAGAUGGGCCUGCGUCUGAUUAGCUAGUUGGUGGGGUAACGGGCUCACCAAGGCGACGAUCAGUAGCCGGUCUGAGAGGAUGAACGGCCACAUUGGGACUGAGACACGGCCCAGACUCCUACGGGAGGCAGCAGUGGGGAAGUCUUCCGCAAUGGGCGAAAGCCUGACGGAGCAACGCCGCGUGAAGUGAAGAAGGUCUUCGGAUCGUAAAGCUCUGUCGAAGGGGACGAACGUGGGUUCUAUCAACAACGGGACCUAAUGACGGUACCUUUCAAGAAAGCCACGGCUAACUACGUGCCAGCAGCCGC